UCGUAGCUUGGUCUGGGGAACAGGAGAACUAACAAGCCAGACGGCGAGUGAGUGGGAUGCAAUGACAGCGCCACAGAGCAGUGGAGAAGAGCCCCUCGCUCUGGAACUUCAGUUUAGUGACGCAGGCUGGAGUUCGGCGUUGUGAGCACAGCAGCAUCGUGACAGUGCCCAGGAUCCCAUACAAUGAACGGGGAGAGGUUGAGCAGUGGUUUACAAGACAAGGCAGUGAUGUGAGAUGGACG